GGAAGUAAAAGUCGUAACAAGGUUUCCGUAGGUGAACCUGCGGAAGGAUCAUUCACACAUUCAAUUCACAUAACGUGAACCAGUCAGACCGUAACAAGUCUGGCUAUCAACAUUUGUUGGGUUAAUUAUCAAGACUUACCUAAGCAUUAUUAACUAUCAGCGAUGGAUGUCUUGGCUCCCACAACGAUGAAGGCCGCAGCAAAAUGCGAUAAUCAUUGUGAAUUGCAGACUUCUUAGAAUCAACAGAACGCUGAACGCAUACGGCACCGUACUUGUACGGUAGGUCUGUUUCAGAGUCACUUUCGAUCUUCCCAAAACUCUUCUUUGGAGAGCGGACGGAAGGCAAGGUACUGCUCGUCUAUUUUACUAUGGGUUGGCAGUCGCAUUGUUCUAUGGCUACUCGUUUUCAACAUAUUCGACUCGCUCGGUUGUUGCAUAUACGGGUAACAUAGCUAUAGCUUACAACUUAUAUGACCUGAAAUCAGACCAGGCUACCCGCUGGACUUAAGCAUAUUAGUCAGCGGAGGAAAGGGCGAUCC
rnacentral:rRNA from 1 species